GAUGAACGCUGGCGGCGCGCCUAACACAUGCAAGUCGAACGAUUAAAGCGCCUUCGGGUGUGUAUAAAGUGGCGAACGGCUGAGUAACACGUGGGCAACCUGCCCCUCUCAUUGGGAUAGCCACGGGAAACCGUGGAUAAUACCGAAUACUUCGGGACUUCCGCAUGGAAGACUCGAGAAAGCUCCGGCGGAGAGGGAUGGGCCCGCGGCCUGUUAGCUUGUUGGUGGGGUAAUGGCCUACCAAGGCAAUGAUGGGUAGCUGGGUUGAGAGACCGACCAGCCAGAUUGGGACUGAGACACGGCCCAGACUCCUACGGGAGGCAGCAGUGGGGAAUCUUGCACAAUGGGCGAAAGCCUGAUGCAGCGACGCCGCGUGCGGGAUGAAGGCCUUCGGGUUGUAAACCGCUUUCAGCAGGGACGAGGCGAAAGUGACGGUACCUGCAGAAGAAGCCCCGGCUAACUACGUG
rnacentral:rRNA from 1 species